CCGAGUUAUACAACUCCCAAACCCACUGUGAACCUUACCUCUACGUUGCUUCGGCGGGACCGCCCCGGGCCCCCCGUGCCCGGAACCAGGCGCCCGCCGGAGACCCCAAAACUCUCAUGUUUACCAUAGCGGAAUUUCUUCUGAGUGGCCCUUUGCGGCAAACAAAUGAAUCA
rnacentral:misc_RNA from 1 species